rnacentral:rRNA from 1 species
GCGUAAGCGCACGCAGGCGGUCUGUCAAGUCGGAUGUGAAAUCCCCGGGCUCAACCUGGGAACUGCAUUCGAAACUGGCAGGCUAGAGUCUUGUAGAGGGGGGUAGAAUUCCAGGUGUAGCGGUGAAAUGCGUAGAGAUCUGGAGGAAUACCGGUGGCGAAGGCGGCCCCCUGGACAAAGACUGACGCUCAGGUGCGAAAGCGUGGGGAGCAAACAGGAUUAGAUACCCUGGUAGUCCACGCCGUAAACGAUGUCGAUUUGGAGGUUGUGCCCUUGAGGCGUGGCUUCCGGAGCUAACGCGUUAAAUCGACCGCCUGGGGAGUACGGCCGCAAGGUUAAAACUCAAAUGAAUUGACGGGGGCCCGCACAAGCGGUGGAGCAUGUGGUUUAAUUCGAUGCAACGCGAAGAACCUUACCUGGUCUUGACAUCC